GGAAAAUGAUUCGGGCUCGGCCCGAUCCUCCCACCCUUUGUGUACCUACCUCUGUUGCUUUGGCGGGCCGCGGUCCUCCGCGGCCGCCCCCCUCCCCGGGGGGGUGGCCAGCGCCCGCCAGAGGACCAUCAAACUCCAGUCAGUAAACGAUGCAGUCUGAAAAACAUUUAAUAAACUAAAACUUUCAACAACGGAUCUCUUGGUUCUGGCAUCGAUGAAGAACGCAGCGAAAUGCGAUAAGUAAUGUGAAUUGCAGAAUUCAGUGAAUCAUCGAAUCUUUGAACGCACAUUGCGCCCUUUGGUAUUCCGAAGGGCAUGCCUGUUCGAGCGUCAUUACAACCCUCAAGCUCUGCUUGGUAUUGGGCACCGUCCUUUGCGGGCGCGCCUCAAAGACCUCGGCGGUGGCGUCUUGCCUCAAGCGUAGUAGAACAUACAUCUCGCUUCGGAGCGCAGGGCGUCGCCCGCCGGACGAACCUUCUGAACUUUUCUCAAGGUUGACCUCGGAUCAGGUAGGGAUACCCGCUGAACUUAAGCAUAUCUAA
rnacentral:rRNA from 1 species